GGUAUUUAGAAUCAGAGCUAGUUGGGUUAUGUCCUGGUUGAACUGAUAGCUUGUUGGAUGGUACGCUUGUGUCCCUGUGUGGCAUUUAGAGCCAGGUGGAUUAUGUCCUGGUUGACCCUAAUAGUGGACGGAUUGUACCUGGAUAGAUACGUUUCGAGAACUUCUUAUGCAUUAGUUUUGUGAAGAAUGAUUUGACCCGCGUGGAUGUGCAGGGAAUAUGCGCCGGUCAAGGAGACAGGAAACCCAGGUUCUCCGGGUACACUGAUACACAGAGCAGUCAAUCAUAUACUCAGAAUGCGGUAUCUCGACCUCCUAGUUCUCUUGUUCUGUGUUCUCCUCCUGGUUUACUAUGUGGAGGCUAGAGAUACUGAUGGAGAUGGAAUCCUAGAUGCAGAUGAUGAUGAUGAUGACAAUGAUGGUAUCCCUGAUGCUGAGGACCCUGAUGAUGAUAAUGAUGGUAUUCUAGAUGAAGAUGACGCGGACUGGGGGAACGAUGAACUCUGAAAAUGAUCGAAAAAAUUUAUAAAUUUUGUUCAUUUAAAAAAAAUUAAUUUAAUCAUCAAAAUAUUCCAAUUAUAAUAUUCAUGUUAUAUUCAUUAUCAUUCAAUAAUAAAGUUAUAAAAGAGUAA